rnacentral:rRNA from 1 species
CGGGGGGAGCAAGCGUUGUUCGGAUUUACUGGGCGUAAAGGGCGCGUAGGCGGCCUCCGCAAGUCAGUUGUGAAAUCUCCGAGCUUAACUCGGAAAGGCCAACUGAUACUGCGGGGCUAGAGUGCGGAAGGGGCAACUGGAAUUCUUGGUGUAGCGGUGAAAUGCGUAGAUAUCAAGAGGAACACCUGCGGCGAAGGCGGGUUGCUGGGCCGACACUGACGCUGAGGCGCGAAAGCUAGGGGAGCGAACGGGAUUAGAUACCCCGGUAGUCCUAGCCUUAAACGAUGAAUGCUUGGUGUCUGGGGUUAUAUAGUCCCCGGGUGCCGUCGCUAACGCUUUAAGCAUUCCGCCUGGGGAGUACGGUCGCAAGACUG